GUCCUACUGAGGAGUCCCAUACUAGGACGAAACGGCCGUCCAGUAC
rfam:Schistosoma mansoni strain Puerto Rico chromosome 6, complete genome